rnacentral:sRNA from 1 species
GCUGGGUGUUGUGGCCCACGCCUGUGAUCCCGGCAGCUCGGGAGGCUGAGGCAGGAGGACGGUGAGUUCAGAGCCAGCCUCAGCCACAUCGUGAGGCUCUGGACAACUCCGGGAGACCCUGUCUCUA